AAAGAAUAAAAAGAAACUUUGUUGUUUAAUUUAAUUCAACUUAAAAUUAAUAUGAAAGAAAAUACGAAAAAUAUCUAUUUGAAAACCCCCCUUGUUUUUUUUAUUGUAUCUAAUUUUUUCUAUUUUCCUUCUUCAGUUUAGAAGAAAAGAAGAAAGAGUGACCUUAGAAUGUCAUUUACUUUUUUUCCUUUGAUUUUAAUCCAUUAGAUUUAGUAGUAGGAGUUUCCAUUCUUCUAAUAUAUACAACGAGAAGAAAGAGGGUAUCAGAUCACUCGAAACUGGUAUUCCGCCGUUUUUUUCUUUCCCCUUUUCUAUUUAUAAUUUUAAUAAAAAAAAGCUUUAUCCUUGUAAUUAAGCCAAGAAAGAACCUUUUUUGUGUCUAAUACAAGAACAACUAAUCAACUUUUUCUUCCAUCAAAUAGUAUUUAAUUUAUUACCGCUAUUAUUGUUACUGAACGACUAACCAAUUCCACUCUUUAAAAUUAAAUAAAAGGGAGUAGGUUCCAACAAAAAAAACAUCUUUGACAAUCACAAAAAAGUAUAUUUCUAGAUUUCACAUCUAAUUGAAUUGUAGAAAUAUGAUAAUUUCCUUCCUGAAUUAUUAGAAACCAAUCGGUCGGAUUACCAUUUUAAUUGAUUCUCAGUUUCGAGUAUAGUGCGAAACUAAUAAUAAUAGAAUAAUGUCGAGAACCCUAAUUUUAGAGUAUAAAAAAAUUCUUAUACUCUCAUUUAGUACAGUACAUCGAGACAACCAAACCAACAAGCAAAGAAGAAAAAAAUUAUCUAGUCCUUAAUCUCGCCACUUAUUGUGAAAUUGAAUUGCUGUAUCAGAAGAAGGAUAGCUAUACUGGUUCGGUAUACUCGAAAGACACCCUUGG
rnacentral:lncRNA from 1 species